rnacentral:rRNA from 1 species
AGCAAACAGGAUUAGAUACCUGGUAGUCCACGCUGUAAACGAUGUCGAUUUGGAGUUUGUUGCCUAGAGUGAUGGGCUCCGAAGCUAACGCGAUAAAUCGACCGCCUGGGGAGUACGGCCGCAAGGUUAAAACUCAAAUGAAUUGACGGGGGCCCGCACAAGCGGUGGAGCAUGUGGUUUAAUUCGAUGCAACGCGAAGAACCUUACCUGGUCUUGACAUCCAUAGAAUUCUGCAGAGAUGUGGGAGUGCCUUCGGGAACUAUGAGACAGGUGCUGCAUGGCUGUCGUCAGCUCGUGUUGUGAAAUGUUGGGUUAAGUCCCGCAACGAGCGCAACCCUUAUUCUUUGUUGCCAGCGAUUUGGUCGGGAACUCAAAGGAGACUGCCGUUGAUAAAGCGGAGGAAGGUGGGGACGACGUCAAGUCAUCAUGGCCCUUACGACCAGGGCUACACACGUGCUACAAUGGCGUAUACAAAGGGAAGCGAAGGUGCGAGCUGGAGCGGAUCUCAUAAAGUACGUCUAAAUUCGGAUUGGAGUCUGCAACUCGACUCCAUGAAGUCGGAAUCGCUAGUAAUCGUAGAUCAGAAUGCUACGGUGAAUACGUUCCCGGGCCUUGUACACACCGCCCGUCACACCAUGGGAGUGGGUUGCACCAGAAGUAGAUAGCUUAACCGCGAGGGGGGCGUUUACCACGGUGUGAUUCAUGACUGGGGUGAAGUCGUAACAAGGUAACCA